CCCACUUUCACAGAUGAGGAUCCCAGAAAGAUCCAAAUACCUGCCUAAACCCCAGCAGUAAAGGUGGGACCAGCCUCCACAUUGCCUUUCUUGAAGGCAGCCAGGGCGGAGGGUCCUGCCAAGACCAGCCUCUGCUCAGAUGAAAGCCUAGCUGUUACCUGUCUUCCCUGAGCCCUGAAGGCUCUGAGGCUCCUGAUGCCCACCGGCCACUCUUUGAGGCUUGACCUGGAAUGCUUGCCUCUCAGUGAUCUGCCCAGCUGCCCCGUCAGCUUUCUUACCCAGCACAGCAACUCACCAUGAAAGAGGAUGCUCAUCUUACAGAGAUGGAAACUAAGGCACCAGGAGAGAAGGAGUACCUCUCACAAGGCCACAAACCUGUGGGUGCUGGAGCCGGGAUCUGACCCCAGGCAGUGUGUCUCCAAACUCUGUCCUGGACUGAAUCACUUUGGGUCCUGGACCACUGAACCACAGGUGGUGUCUGAGGGAUGUUUUUGGGCCACUAUUCCUGCGUGUCCUCUGCCAGGAACACAGCUUAGAAUGGCAGGCUAGGUCAGGACCUGCAGAAGUUCAACCGCUUGAUGAAAAGUUUAGCAAAGGCUUACCAGUUUGGAGAGGUGGUUUCCUAGCAACUGAGAAGCUUUCAGAGCUCCAGAUAAUUGCCCCAGUUGUGAGUGAUUCAUUUCAAACAGCCAUGUCCUUUUUAAAACACAAAGCCCCAUUGUCUCUACCUGGAUGCUGUUAGAUUUCCACAUUGGGCCCACACAGUCAAGUGACAUGCUGGAUUUCAGAGAAGAACUGACAUCCACAAAAAGCAGCAAUAUUGGAAGGGCAGAAGUGAGAAUAAAAAUGGAAAGGAAUCCAUUAGCAAAAUUAAGCAAAAAGACGUCCAAACAUGCAAAAUGGAGAUGGAUGUUUGGAGAAGUGGCUUACUCAUUUCAUGCACAUGUAGUGCCUGUGAGAGGUGCAAAUGAUAGCAUUAUUUAUAGAUGUGCCAAAUAAGAACUGACUUCACCAUUUGUCUUUGCUUAAUCACUCAUUUGUUCAUUCAACAAAUAUUUUCUGGGCACCCACUAGGUGAGCAGCACAGAGGCUAAGUGGUUCAGGGUGGGGACACUGGUGUCCAGCUCAGGGAUUCAAAUCCUGGCCCUGAUGGCAGCUCUGGAUCUUGGGGAUGUUACCAACCUUUGCCACACCUCAGUUUUCUCAUCCGCAAAGCACGGAGAAUGUUAGUACCUAUCUCAUGGGGUAGUGCAGAUUAAACAAGAAGAUCCUUGCAUAAGUGGUCAGCACAGAGCAUGGGCCCCCUGGAAGCCUGUUUAAUGACAUCAUCGCUCUUCCCUCACACUGGGACCAAGCUUCAGGGAAGUCUUGCUAAACCCUGCAGCUUGGUCCCCUGAGAGAAAUCAGGAUAGCGUGCGUCCGUGAUGAGAAUGAAG
ensembl:lncRNA